GUUGCUCACUUCAGCAGCACAUAUACUUGGAACGUUACAGAGAAGAUUAGCAUGGCCCCUGCACAAGGAUGACAUGCAAAUUUGUGAAGCAUUCCAUAUUAAA